GCCAGUUGCAUUUCUUCUGUCAUGGAUUUCUUCUACCAUGCAUUGUUAUAUGUGGUAAAUAUUUUUCCCAGUUUGCCUAUUUUUGUUGUUAUUUUGUUGCUAGGGAUUGAACCCAGGUCCUUGCACAUACUAAGCAUACACUAUACCACUGAGCUACAUACUCCCAACCUCUGUCUUUUAAUGUGCAAGGUUUUUGGUUUGGUUUGGUUUUUUCUUUUGUCAGGGAUGCAGAAAGGGAGAUUCUCACUUUGUUGUCCUGGCUGGAACUCCUAGACUCAACUGGUUUUUCUGUCUUGGCCUCCUAAGUGCUGAAACAAUAGGUACUCCUGACCACACAGCUUUAGUGUGUGAGUUUUAAAUUUUAUGUGGAUAUCUUUUAUGUGGAUAUAUCUACAAUCUUUUCUGGUUUGUUUUGUUUUAUUGUUUUUUGGUACUGGAGAUUGAAUCCAGGGGCACUUUACCACUAAGCUAUAUCCCCAGCCCUUUCUAUUUUUUAUUUUGAGACAGGAUCUCACAAAGUUGCUGAGGCUGACCUCAAACUUUCAGUCCUCCUGCCUCAGCCUGCUAAAUCACUGGGAUUACAGGCAUGUGCCACAGCACCCAGCCCUGGUUUGUAUUCUUUAUAUUUUGUCCAUAGGAAAAUCUUUUCACCCUCAAGUUAUAUACAUAUUUUAUUCUUUAAAAGUAUUUAAUGUCUUUGUUGAUUGAAAUUUAUUUUGGCAACAUCUACUGUAAAAUAGAAAUUAUAAUUUUAAAUUUUUUCAAAUAGUGCCCUACCAUUAUUUACUAUACAAUAUCUCCACUGAUUUACAUGCUGCUAUUUAUCAUAAUCUAAAGAAAGAAAGGGCUGGGGAUGUAGCUCAUUGGUUGAGCACCUCUAGGUUCAGUCCCCAGUACCAAAAAUAUAAAUAAAUAAAUACUGGAGUCUGGAGUGGCUAUACUAAAUAUCAAAUGUACUUUAAAUCAAAUAGUUGCCACAUGGUGGUGGCACACGACGGUAAUCC
rnacentral:lncRNA from 1 species